rnacentral:rRNA from 1 species
AUUGAACGCUGGCGGCAGGCUUAACACAUGCAAGUCGAGCGGGGUGAUGGUGCUUGCACUAUCACUUAGCGGCGGACGGGUGAGUAAUGCUUAGGAAUCUGCCUAUUAGUGGGGGACAACAUCUCGAAAGGGAUGCUAAUACCGCAUACGGCCUACGGGAGAAAGCCGGGGAUCAAUUGGGAACUUGCGCUAAUAGAUGAGCCUAAGUCGGAUUAGCUAGUUGGUGGGGUAAAGGGCUACCAAGGCGACGAUCUGUAGCGGGUCUUAGAGGAGGACCCGCCACACUGGGACUGGGACACGGACCAGACUCCUACGGGAGGCAGCAGUGGGGAAUAUUGGACAAUGGGGGGAACCCUGAUCCAGCCAUGCCGCGUGUGUGAAGAAGGCCUUAUGGUUGUAAAGCACUUUAAGCGAGGAGGAGGCUCUUUUGGUUAAUACCCAAGAUGAGUGGACGUUACUCGCAGAAUAAGCACCGGCUAACUCUGUGCCAGCAGCCGGCGUAA